GAUAACCUACCUAUAAGACUGGGAUAACUUCGGGAAACCGGAGCUAAUACCGGAUAAUAUUUUGAACCGCAUGGUUCAAAAGUGAAAGACGGUCUUGCUGUCACUUAUAGAUGGAUCCGCGCUGCAUUAGCUAGUUGGUAAGGUAACGGCUUACCAAGGCAACGAUGCAUAGCCGACCUGAGAGGGUGAUCGGCCACACUGGAACUGAGACACGGUCCAGACUCCUACGGGAGGCAGCAGUAGGGAAUCUUCCGCAAUGGGCGAAAGCCUGACGGAGCAACGCCGCGUGAGUGAUGAAGGUCUUCGGAUCGUAAAACUCUGUUAUUAGGGAAGAACAUAUGUGUAAGUAACUGUGCACAUCUUGACGGUACCUAAUCAGAAAGCCACGGCUAACUACGUGCCAGCAGCCGCGGUAAUACGUAGGUGGCAAGCGUUAUCCGGAAUUAUUGGGCGUAAAGCGCGCGUAGGCGGCCCUUUAAGUCUGAUGUGAAAGCCCACGGCUCAACCGUGGAGGGUCAUUGGAAACUGGAAAACUUGAGUGCAGAAGAGGAAAGUGGAAUUCCAUGUGUAGCGGUGAAAUGCGCAGAGAUAUGGAGGAACACCAGUGGCGAAGGCGACCCCCUGGUCUGUAACUGACGCUGAUGUGCGAAAGCGUGGGGAUCAAACAGGAUUAGAUACCCUGGUAGUCCACGCCGUAAACGAUGAGUGCUAAGUGUUAGGGGGUUUCCGCCCCUUAGUGCUGCAGCUAACGCAUUAAGCACUCCGCCUGGGGAGUACGACCGCAAGGUUGAAACUCAAAGGAAUUGACGGGGACCCGCACAAGCGGUGGAGCAUGUGGUUUAAUUCGAAGCAACGCGAAGAACCUUACCAAAUCUUGACAUCCUUUGACAACUCUAGAGAUAGAGCCUUCCCCUUCGGGGGACAAAGUGACAGGUGGUGCAUGGUUGUCGUCAGCUCGUGUCGUGAGAUGUUGGGUUAAGUCCCGCAACGAGCGCAACCCUUAAGCUUAGUUGCCAUCAUUAAGUUCCCCACUCUAAGUUGACUGCCGGUGACAAACCGGAGGAAGGUGGGGAUGACGUCAAAUCAUCAUGCCCCUUAUGAUUUGGGCUACACACGUGCUACAAUGGACAAUACAAAGGGCAGCGAAACCGCGAGGUCAAGCAAAUCCCAUAAAGUUGUUCUCAGUUCGGAUUGUAGUCUGCAACUCGACUACAUGAAGCUGGAAUCGCUAGUAAUCGUAGAUCAGCAUGCUACGGUGAAUACGUUCCCGGGUCUUGUACACACCGCCCGUCACACCACGAGAGUUUGUA
rnacentral:rRNA from 1 species